CCAGGUUGCACGAGUUCAGACUCGUAGCAGAUAGCUCAGUAACACGUGGCCAAACUACCCUAUGGAUCCGAAUAACCUCGGGAAACUGAGGCUAAUUCGGAAUACGAUUCACCACCUGGAGUGGUGUGAAUCCGAAACGCUCCGGCGCCAUAGGAUGUGGCUGCGGCCGAUUAGGUAGACGGUGGGGUAACGGCCCACCGUGCCCAUAAUCGGUACGGGUUGUGAGAGCAAGAGCCCGGAGACGGUAUCUGAGACAAGAUACCGGGCCCUACGGGGCGCAGCAGGCGCGAAACCUUUACACUGCACGCGAGUGCGAUAAGGGGACUCCAAGUGCGAGGGCAUAUAGUCCUCGCUUUUUGCGACCGUAAGGUGGUCGCGGAAUAAGUGCUGGGCAAGACCGGUGCCAGCCGCCGCGGUAAUACCGGCAGCACGAGUGAUGACCGCUAUUAUUGGGCCUAAAGCGUCCGUAGCUGGCCGUGCAAGUCCAUCGGGAAAUCCGCGCGCUUAACGCGCGGGCGUCCGGUGGAAACUGCAUGGCUUGGGACCGGAAGACCAGAGGGGUACGUCCGGGGUAGGAGUGAAAUCCCGUAAUCCUGGACGGACCACCGGUGGCGAAAGCGCCUCUGGAAGACGGAUCCGACGGUGAGGGACGAAAGCUCG
rnacentral:rRNA from 2 species